AUGAACCUGACUCUCCUCACGAGGUGGCUCUGGUGCAUUGUGAAUGGCGAGGGUGGUUUGUGGUUGCAAAUCAUCUGGAGCAAAUAUUUGCACGGCCAACCCCUCGCCUUCUGCAUCCGAUCGGGUGGUUCCCAGUUCUGGCAGUCCGUCAUCCAGCUGCUCCCGGUCCUCCGCAUCGGGACCUCCAUUUCGGUUGGCUCUGGGACGACCACGCUGUUUUGGUUCGACCGCUGGGCUGGGGACUCCCCCUUCCCUGCCAGGUUCCCGGAUCUUUUCUCCAUUGCGGUGGAGCCUAGGAUUUCUGUUGAGACGUCCCUUAUUGACUUAGGGUGUCUCGUUUUUCGGAGGCCAUUCGGGCCCCCGGAAGUCGCUGCCUGGCAUGAGCUUCUGGGCGCCGUUGCUCUCCAUGAGCCGGAUUUGACACAGCCCAACGACCGCCUGUCUUGGCGCCUCGAACCCUCAGGAAGGUUCUCAACUAAAUCCCUAUAUCAGGUGAUUGCUCCCACCCCUGGCCCGGCAGUCCUUGAGAUGGUCUGGGCUAUCCGUCUUCCCCUAAAGAUCAGAAUUUUCUUGUGGCAAUGGAUCCGCGGCCGGCUCCCCUCCGACGUGGAGGUGUUGAAACGGCAAGGCCCGGGCGACGGGAUUUGCCCCCUAUGUGGGACUGAGGAAACCUCGAAUCACAUUUUCUUCUCGUGUGUUUACGCCCAGUUCCUUUGGGGAUGCCUCCGUGAGGCUAUUGGUGACAACUGGUGUAACGCCAACUGUUGGGGAACGUAG
rnacentral:rRNA from 1 species